GAAAAUUAGUUGGCAACACUGAGCGGAAUGCGGCGAAAGCACCUACAGCUGCCGACGACUCGAAUGUGCUGCUCUGGGACCUCCCAAUCUUCCCCCUGAUCAACAGAAAUGCAGGACAGAUGCCAGGGAAGUCCAGAAGACUGACACGUGAGUCUGCAUUACUUGUGACAUGACUUCCUGACUUCAAGGCAUCUGAACAGAAUCUCCACUUGGAGUUCCAUUCUGGAAUAGGAAUGUGUGCUGCAUUCAGACCACGAGACUGAUGCGCUUUGUGAAAAUCCAGGGUUUGAGUGCUGUGGUCAGUGGAAUUGCAGCGUUGGACUCCAACAUCCUGUUGACUGUCCUGAAACAAGAUGGCUGUUCUGAGCUGCUCUAAGCUAUGCAGGUUCUUCUGUUUGUGGCUGAACAAGGAGCCGUGAUGCCAACUAGACUGGUCCUGAUGGUGGUACCAGACUGGUCACUAGAAGAUGCCUGUUACUGAACUACCACAAGUUGAUGUCCUUGUGGGUCUGCAGUCUUCAGGAAGGUCCUAACUGUUCCAGCCUGGCCACUGGAGAACUGUUGCUGCACUACCUCAAGGUUUCUGCCCCCCUGGUUGAGGUCCUAGUGUCUGCAGUGUUUGGAAAGAGCUCGUUGGCUGCUGAAGUGUUGCUGUGCUGGUGGAGCGGGAAGCUCUCCUGUUGUACAACGGCAAGCCCUCUUGGUCAGCAAGGAAGUGAGACGUCUCGUUGGAACUGGGGAAAACCAGGCCAAGUCAAUUCAACCCUGUGACUGUUUUGAUGUAUAAAUAAAUCUACAAAUUAA